rfam:Mesitornis unicolor contig18596, whole genome shotgun sequence.
CCAGCAGACCCUGCUGCUUUGGCUGCCUCUGAUCCUGAGCCCUGUGUUCCUCAUCCUGCUCUGCUCAGCUAAGCUCAGAAGCUCAGCAGGGUCAGGCCCGGUCAGUACCUGGAUGGGAGACCACCUGGGAAUACCGGGUGCUUGCUCCC